rnacentral:rRNA from 1 species
CCUACGGGAGGCUGCAGUAGGGAAUUGUCGGCAAUGGGGGGAACCCUGACCGAGCAACGCCGCGUGAACGAAGAAGUUAUUCGUAAUGAAAAGUUCUUUUAACAGGGAAGAAAGAGAAAUUUUACGGUACCUGAAUAAUAAGCUCCGGCGAACUACGUGCCAGCAGCCGCGGUAAUCCGUAGGGAGCGAGCGUUAUCCGGAAUUAUUGGGCGAAAAGGGUGCGUAGAUGGUAUAGUAAGUCCUUUGUAAAAAUGCUGGGCUCAACCCAGGAGGGCCAAAGAAACUGCAAGGCUAGAGUAUGACAGAGGCAAGUGGAACUACAUGUGUAGCGGUAAAAUGCGUAAAUAUAUGUAAGAACACCAGUGGCGAAGGCGGCUUGCUGGGUCGAUACUGACAUUGAGGCACGAAAGCGUGGGGAGCAAACAGGAUUAGAUACCCCUGUAGUC